UACGUAGGGUGCGAGCGUUGUCCGGAUUUAUUGGGCGUAAAGAGCUCGUAGGCGGUUUGUCGCGUCGGCCGUGAAAUCUCCACGCUUAACGUGGAGCGUGCGGUCGAUACGGGCAGACUUGAGUUCGGUAGGGGAGACUGGAAUUCCUGGUGUAGCGGUGAAAUGCGCAGAUAUCAGGAGGAACACCGGUGGCGAAGGCGGGUCUCUGGGCCGAUACUGACGCUGAGGAGCGAAAGCGUGGGGAGCGAUCCGG
rnacentral:rRNA from 1 species